rnacentral:rRNA from 1 species
GAUGAACGCUGGCGGCGUGCCUAAUACAUGCAAGUCGAGCGAACGGACGAGAAGCUUGCUUCUCUGAUGUUAGCGGCGGACGGGUGAGUAACACGUGGAUAACCUACCUAUAAGACUGGGAUAACUUCGGGAAACCGGAGCUAAUACCGGAUAAUAUUUUGAACCGCAUGGUUCAAAAGUGAAAGACGUUCUUGCUGUCCCUUAUAGAUGGAUCCGCGCUGCAUUAGCUAGUUGGUAAGGUAACGGCUUACCAAGGCAACGAUGCAUAGCCGACCUGAGAGGGUGAUCGGCCACACUGGAACUGAGACACGGUCCAGACUCCUACGGGAGGCAGCAGUAGGGAAUCUUCCGCAAUGGGCGAAAGCCUGACGGAGCAACGCCGCGUGAGUGAUGAAGGUCUUCGGAUCGUAAAACUCUGUUAUUAGGGAAGAACAUAUGUGUAAGUAACUGUGCACAUCUUGACGGUACCUAAUCAGAAAGCCACGGCUAACUACGUG